GGGUAGCCGGCUGAGAGGGUGACCGGCCACACUGGGACUGAGACACGGCCCAGACUCCUACGGGAGGCAGCAGUGGGGAAUAUUGCACAAUGGGCGAAAGCCUGAUGCAGCGACGCCGCGUGAGGGAUGACGGCCUUCGGGUUGUAAACCUCUUUCAGCAGGGAAGAAGCGAAAGUGACGGUACCUGCAGAAAAAGCGCCGGCUAACUACGUGCCAGCAGCCGCGGUAAUACGUAGGGCGCAAGCGUUGUCCGGAAUUAUUGGGCGUAAAGAGCUCGUAGGCGGUUUGUCGCGUCUGCUGUGAAAGCCCGGGGCUUAACCUCGGGUCUGCAUUGGAUACGGGCAGACUAGAGUGCGGUAGGGGAGAUUGGAAUUCCUGGUGUAGCGGUGAAAUGCGCAGAUAUCAGGAGGAACACCGAUGGCGAAGGCGGAUCUCUGGGCCGAUACUGACGCUGAGGAGCGAAAGCGUGGGGAGCGAACAGGAUUAGAUACCCUGGUAGUCCACGCCGUAAACGUUGGGAACUAGGUGUGGGGGACAUUCCACGGUUUCCGUGCCGCAGCUAACGCAUUAAGUGCCCCGCCUGGGGAG
rnacentral:rRNA from 1 species